rnacentral:rRNA from 1 species
UACGUAGGGUGCAAGCGUUGUCCGGAAUCAUUGGGCGUAAAGAGCGUGUAGGCGGCCCGAUAAGUCCGCUGUGAAAGUCCAGGGCUCAACCCUGGAAUGCCGGUGGAUACUGUCGGGCUAGAGUCCGGAAGGGGCGAGUGGAAUUCCCGGUGUAGCAGUGAAAUGCGUAGAUAUCGGGAGGAACACCAGUGGCGAAGGCGGCCUUCUGGACCAGUACUGACGCUCAUGCACGAAAGCGUGGGGAGCAAACAGG